rnacentral:tRNA from 1 species
AGCCCCGUAGUGUAGAGGCCAAGCACAGCGGGCUUUGGACCCGCGGACAUCGGUUCGAAUCCGAUCGGGGCUA